ensembl:lncRNA
CUGUAGAUCGAUCAAUCAAUCAAUCAAUCAAUCAAUCAAUCAAUCUUUUCAUUAACUAUUUCUUUCUACUCACCAUUUAUAGAAACAAGAGAAACAUAGAACUAUGUCUCUUAAUAUAAUUAUUUUAUUUUAUUUUAUAUUUAUUUCGACCAUCCCUUUUUAACAGGAUGGAGAGGAUUGGCCUGUCAUCCCACCAAUCAGAGUGCGAAAGGAAGUGGAAAUCUACAGCCCUCUUACUCUGCAGCCCUCUGUGAUUGUGUUUCCAUGGCAACCCUACAAUAAGGUGUACCAGUACAAUAUAUUUAGGUACCAUUAAGAACAAUAUUCUUAUCUGUGUAUGUUGAAGCAUAAUGACCGUUUGAUAUAAUAUAAUCUGAGUUGCCAGGUGGAAGGAGGAAGUGGCUCUGUGAUGUGGGAAGUGUCUGAUAGAGAAAUUGCCACAGUUACAGUAAAAGGGGUGGUCAUAGCAGGAAAGAGGAGGGGCCAGGCUGAAAAUCAGGUUUCAGAUUCCAAAAACAUCCUGCACAAAGUAGUCAGGAAGGGUUAGUAUUUGCACAAACACACACACACACAAACACAGUCUGGUUCACUAUCCUUGUAUAGGGACUCUCCAUACUGUACAAACUGUAUUUUCUAUUGCUUUUUACAACAUUUUUACAAUAAAAAAAAACUAAUUCUGUAUGAUUUAUAAGCUUCUGUAGCCAUGGGGACCUCAAUUUAGGUCCCCGAAGUGACAAAAGUCCCCAUGAGUUGGUGUAUUUCUUAUAUUUCUUUCACUGUUUGUACAGGUGAUGGUCGUGAGGCCUGCCCGGUUGCAACUGAUUCCCCAGGGGGGCGUUUGUUGUGUGGGGGACAGGAUAGACAUUCCCUUUGCUCUCUGGGGCAUUCAGGACCCACCAAACACUUGCUCUCAGACAAAUUAUGUCUUUGAUACACAUUUGUACACUCACAGGAGCAUCACUGCAAAUUCUCAGGCAAACUUGUUCUCUGAAACACACCAUCUUCAAUGCGGCGAGUCUCUACUGGAGGAUAGAAAUCUUGUGUUAGUCACAGACUGCUCUCAGCUCUCUCUACACGUCCAAACUGAACCUGCCGGCUUCUUCACACGCAUGCCAGGAUCUCUGUCUCCAGGUGCUGGAUUCUCUUUCACGGGGGCACACUGUUGUUACCAUCACAGUGGAAACAGAGGGAUGCAACAUCAGUGAGACGACAACACUGGUGGCCUACAGCCCUCCCAAAGUAUGCUGUUUCUGUGUGUGUGUGUGUGUGUGUGUGUGUGUGUGUGUGUGUGUGUGGGUGUGUCUCUGUGCACAACCGUGUAUGUGUGCACGUAUGAUUUGUGGUAAGUGUCAUGUCUCUAUAAAGGGUGAUUUAUCAGCCCUAUGGUGGCUAUUUAUUAAGAUAAUGAACUGUUCGGGAGUAGCAGAAGAUUAAUGUGUAACUGAGUGCUCCUGAUCACUGAUGUAUGACUCUGUAUGUCAGGGACAUAGAGAGCAGCGGAGCUCUCUGGUCCAGGGCAAAUGCUGCCAAGCACACUCAUGGGAAUUUAACAGGACAAUGUGAUGGAUCAGUGCUUUGCUUUUGUCAGUCAGACACUAAUGAAAGACAGCAACAAGUUUAACAAGGACAUUAUCGUGAGCUUUGUACUCUAUUUAGCCUCUGAGUGACAUUGUUUUCCCCUUCUUUCACUUAGUUUCUUGCGCCUGAGGUUCUUCUCUCAGUGGGCUCCUCUUGUGUGGUUAUAUUCGAGGGUGGGCUUCGUCCCUGGCUCCCGGCUACCUUCCGUUUCUUUAGUGACGUCGAGGUGCAGCCAGAGGGGGGUGUUACCAUGGAGGCACUGCGUCCGACUGCAGCAAGGCCACCUAAACAUGCGUAUCAGGUCAUGUGCACUGCCGUAGGAGAACAGGUUUGAAAUGUCCUCAACUACAAUGUGACUCAUGUGUCAUAUGUACUGCAUUAUUACACUAAACUCAUGUAGAUGCAUUUAUUAAUAAUAAUAGAUUUUAUUUUCUGUUUUUACCCACAAACAUAUGGGGUAUUUACAGAACCAGAAGAUUAAAAAUGAUCAUUUAAUAAAUAAUAACCAAUAAUAAGUAAUGUUUAAAAU